AGUCGUAACAAGGUUUCCGUAGGUGAACCUGCGGAAGGAUCAUUAACACGUAUCCAACGUUAAAACCCCCCGUGAACAUUCAGUCCUGCUCUUGUAACCCGCGUAGUUCGCAAUCUCUGGUAAAUCAUAGCCCGGAAAGUUGUUUGAUUCAGAGACCUCUGGCUACGUGAGAACAAUGGAUAUCUUGGUUCUC
rnacentral:misc_RNA from 1 species